AUGAAUCAAAACUUUCAACAACGGAUCUCUUGGUUCUGGCAUCGAUGAAGAACGCAGCGAAAUGCGAUAAGUAAUGUGAAUUGCAGAUUUCAGUGAAUCAUCGAAUCUUUGAACGCACAUUGCGCCCGCCAGCAUUCUGGCGGGCAUGCCUGCCC
rnacentral:rRNA from 1 species